GACGAAGGGGGCUAGCGUUGUUCGGAAUUACUGGGCGUAAAGCGCGUGUAGGCGGUUAUCCAAGUCGGGUGUGAAAGCCUUGAGCUCAACUCAAGAAAUGCAUUCGGUACUGGGUGACUAGAGGACAGGAGAGGGAAGUGGAAUUCCCGGUGUAGUGGUGAAAUGCGUAGAUAUCGGGAGGAACACCAGUGGCGAAGGCGGCGAUCUGGGUCGAUACUGACGCUGAGGUGCGAAAGCGUGGGGGAGCAAACAGGG
rnacentral:rRNA from 1 species